rnacentral:rRNA from 1 species
AGAGAGAGACAUGCGCGCAUAUCAAUAAGCGGAGGAAAAGAAACUAACAAGGAUUCCCCUAGUAACGGCGAGUGAAGCGGGAAGAGCUCAAAUUUGAAAUCUUAAAGGGUUUCCCUUUACGAAUUGUAGUUUAAAGAAGUGUUUUCUGUUGAGGUUUUGGUAAAAGUUCUUUGGAAUAGGACAUCAUAGAGGGUGAGAAUCCCGUAUUUGACCUUUACUUUCAACUUUGUGAUACACUUUCAAAGAGUCGGAUUGUUUGGGAAUGCAGUCCAAAAUGGGUAGGUAAAUUUCAUCUAAAGCUAAAUAUUGGCGAGAGACCGAUAGCGAACAAGUACCGUGAGGGAAAGAUGAAAAGAACUCUGAAAAGAGAGUUAAACAGUACGUGAAAUUGUCAAAAGGGAAGCGUUUGACACCAGUGUUGUUUUUCUGAAAAUCAAUUAAAGAACUGUUUAUGCUAAGUUGUUUAGACUUUAUCAGCUAAUCUGUUUAGUUUUGAGCUUUUCUUUAAUGCACUUUUCAGUUAACAAGUCAACAUCAAUUUCUUUUGCUGUAAAAAAGCUUGAGGAAGGUGGCUUGAGAUUCGUCUUAAGUGUUUAUAGCCUCUUGCCUAUGCAGUCGGAGAGAUUGAGGUCUGCAGCGUAGAUCCUUCGGGGCUAAAUGCAUUUGUGCUAAGUUAUAGCAUUUUAUAGACAACUUGUUGACUAUGAUUUGUCUUGUAGCUUACUCGCUUAUGUUAUUUUACCUACGCUUAGGAUGUUGAGCGCAUGUCUCUCUCU